GUAGCAAUACAUGCUGACGAGCGGCGAACGGGUGAGUAAUGUCUCGGAAUCUGCCCAAUGGUGGGGAAUAACCAGCCGAAAGGUUGGCUAAUACCGCAUAAGUCCUACGGGAGAAAGCGGGGGAUCGCAAGACCUCGCGCCGAUGGAUGAGCCGAAACCGGAUUAGCUAGUUGGUAGGGUAACGGCCUACCAAGGCGACGAUCCGUAGCUGGUCUGAGAGGACGACCAGCCACACUGGGACUGAGACACGGCCCAGACUCCUACGGGAGGCAGCAGUGGGGAAUAUUGGACAAUGGGGGAAACCCUGAUCCAGCGACGCCGCGUGUGUGAAGAAGGCCUGCGGGUUGUAAAGCACUUUUAGUGGGGAUGAAAAGCUCAGGGCUAAUACCGCUGAGUCUUGACCUAACCCAAAGAAAAAGCACCGGCUAACUCUGUGCCAGCAGCCGCGGUAAUACAGAGGGUGCAAGCGUUAAUCGGAAUUACUGCGCGUAAAGCGUGCGUA
rnacentral:rRNA from 1 species